rnacentral:lncRNA from 1 species
GGCACUCCUGGGUGCGGCACGGGACCGGAGGUGCUUUCGACCUCCGAGGCUGCGACCGCGUGUCCUGUAGCAGCAACCACUGCAGAUGGGGCGUUGCAGCUCUCGAGCUGCUGCGGCUGCAGCUGGACUUGGCAGGGGCACCCGAAAGCCAGCAAUUCCCUUAUGGAAAGGUAGAUUCAGGAGAUCUGGGCAGGACUGCGUGGCAGCGUCAGGCUCCCUUAUUUCCUAGCCCUCAAUCCAAUUCCUAGUGAGGUGGCUGUCCUACCGGACUCAAAGAAUGAAACUGCCACCUGGGCUCUGAAGAGAUGCCAGUUCCAGUAGUUCCUCAAGGGUUCAAAGAACUUCAGUGACUGCCACAGGCAAAGUGGAUUCAAAUGCUAAACGGAACCAAGCAGACCGAAGACUGCAGAAAGGAAGGUCUGACACUGAGCACAGAUGGGGGGGGGGGGGGGAAGAGACGAAGCUUCCAGAAAUUCAGAUCUCCUCCCAGCUGCCCCUCCCUACCCAACUUGUAAAGGUUGCUUUGUGCUUUGACCAGGAGAGGCCUGGUUGGAAAGUGACUCUACUCUGUCUUAAUACAGAAACGCCUUACUAUGCUCCAGU